UGUGAACAGGCGCGCAGACGGAUCCACGUGACCCUUCAAACCACAGAAGAAGAAAGCUCGCCCGCGCAUUUGUCUGUCACGUGUGACAAACCCAUGCUAUGUAGGGCCGAGACAUUGCAUGUUUUCUUUCAAGCCGGUCACUAAAGUAGGUGACUUUAAUGGUCAACACCGCCGCCAAUUUGAGGGAAGGGGCUCAUCAAUUAAACUCACCUGCUGGAGAAACUGGUUGGAGUUUGACACCCCUGGCUUCGAAGAAGUAUAUUUACUUCUGCGUGUCAUUAUGGAGUACAAGACAAAAUAUUAGGAGAAUGCCUACUGAAGUGAAUCAUGUCCGUCGGAAUAUUCAGCUAUUAUGUUGGCUUGCCGUCAAAGCUCACUUCUGGUCACGUGACGGCGACGAGGCGGCAGUUGGUCUGUGACGUCAGUGGAGCCCAUGCGGAAAAAAGGUGCAAGACCCCUGCUUUAUUGGGACCAGGAGGAUGAUGCAUAUGCAGGUACAUCCCUUAAAUUGUCCACAGACAAUGUGAGCUUCUCUUCAAACAUGUACGAGAAGAAGACCGUCGGAGAAGACUGUUGCAACAAGAGUGAAGGGAGUCAUUUUUUACUGCAUCAUAAAUUGCACCUCAAACUGAUGCCAAAUAAUGUUAAAUUUGGACUUGGACCAACUGAAUGGGUGUUGGGAGGCUGGAUUUUGGACCUGAACCCCACUAGAGUCAUUAAUUCCACAUGGAGAUUCUGCUAACCCGAACCCCACUAGAGUCUCCAUUAAUACCACAGGCUGAUUUUAACCCUAACCCCAUACCUGAACUCCACUACAGUCUCCAUUUGGAGAUUCUGCUAACCCUAACGCCGGUACCAAAGCCGCAACAUUUGCUUGUACCAUGAAUUCCCCAUGUAGAUUCUGCAAACCCUAACCCCUAACCCAAACCCCACUACAGUCUCCAUGAAUUCCCCAUGUAGAUUCUGCAAACCCUAACCCCUUACAUAAACCCCACUACAGUCUCCAUUUGGAGAUUCUGCUAACCUUAACCCGAGCCCCACUAUUUGUUUUUACCAUGAAUGCCACAUGCCGAUUCUGCCUACCCUAACCUCUGACCCAAACCCUACGACAGUCUCCAUGAAUUUCCCUUGUAGAUUCUGCCUACCCUAACCCCUGACCCGAACCUCACUACAGUCUCCCUGAAUUCCCCAUGUAGAUUCUGCAAACCCUAACCCCUUACCUGAAACCCACUACAGUCUCCAUUUGGAGAUUCUGCUAACCCUAAUCCCAGUACCCGAGCCCCACUAUUUGUUUGUACUAUGAAUGCCACAUGCUGAUUCUGCCUACCCUAACCCCUGACCCGAACCUCACUACAGUCUCCAUGAAUUCCCAUUGUAGAUUCUGCCUACCUUAACCCCUGACACGAACCC